AAAUGUGUUUCUUUUUAAAGUGCUCCAGCAAUGAAGUUGAGCUUGAAAGUGUCUUGAACCACUGUUUUACUAAGUUUAACCCUUUCUUGCACCCUGUAAACCGAUAACAUGAUAAGCUGUCCACUGUAGUAACCGCUGUCCCUAAAAGGGUUAAAUGAAAUUGAUCAAAUGCCAAA